CUAAUGAUCUCCAGGAAAUGGAGGGGUAUCAGCUUGUAUUAUGGUUCAAAAUACCUCUGGCUCUGAUGAUUAUAUGGACAAAACCGUUUUUAUACUGUCCUGUCUCAGCUGUCAAAGAGGGCAUUAAACUGGGUGUGGAUGUAGCAGACUAGUUCUUUCAACUAUGUCAAGCUGGUACUGUGAGCAGAGCAACAAAUCUAAAUGAAAUCAGGAGUUAAUUUUCCCUACCAGGGAAAGGGACCAGUGAUAAAUGGACAUAAAAAUAUGGGUA